GCCAGAGGAACAAGGGCAUUUUACAGCCUCUAAUUCUCAGUGUAGGGGAACAAUGUAGUCAAGCCAGACUUGCGCACAACACUUACUUUCCAUGCUGGGUGGAAGGGGAAGGAGGAGAGCAGGGUUGGCCACCCCUGUAGUCACUGAAUUUGUGGCUAUGGCCCCACACCCAGCACCAGUGUGGUUGACUCAGGCAAGGUAAGAUAGAGCAGCCCCCAAAUAGGCAUGCUGCUAAAUAGUGCCAAAGUAGGCACUGCUGUCUGAGCUUUAGUCCUUAUUGCCAAAACCCCCAGAAUCCUCAAAAUGAGAGACAGAGUGCUUCUGGGGAAGAUACUGGGCAAACUAAAAGAUGAUAACUGUUCACUAGGGGCUUUAUCAGGACACUACACAUGUAGAUACUGGGGACCUUAUGUAUGCAAAGUGCACCAAUGCCAACAGGAGCUCAAGAAGGAAGUGCCUUUGUAUCAGCAACUGCAUUGCACUGAAGUUGGUGAGGAACAAUCAAAGCCUAACAGAUAUGAGUAGGAAACCACUGGAAUACAGGGUCAUCUACUGAAAUAGCUCAAGACUGAAGUUGUCAUUGAAACCAUGAGGGACUGAGGGAAGCAGGAUACCGACACAUUUUGGAACACAGUCCAAGAUGGUUACAAUUUUUUCAGCCUUUCUCACAAGCAACUUCCUCUGACAAAGAGAGGAAAUGCAGAGAAAGAAGAUUACCACUUCUUACUUCCCAAACUUGAACAGCUGACCUGAUCUGUUGAAAAGGCUAUUUUUCAGUUACCUUUUCAGAGUCAUAACCAGUUUCCAGCGGCAGUCUUUUAUUUCACCUUCUGAAAAGAAAGAGAAAACUGCUGAAAAGAUGCAAAAUCACAGCAUUCAGUGAUACACUAAUUCACUUAAAUGAAAGUUAUUUUUUUUCUGUCUUGGCAUAAAUUGGCUUGGUAUACCAUCUUGAUGGUAGAAGAGAGCCUGAUCUGGAGGAAAUGUUCUUUGGAGAAAACAAUGCAAGCACAGUCAAACAAAAUAUCUACCUUACACAGAUUUAGUCAAUGGUGAAGAGGUCAUUUAAAUUGAAAUGUUCAGGAAUGUUACUUGAUUUUUUUUUUUUCUUUUCAGACUGUAUAUUUAUAGGAAUUUUUCUAAAAACUACCUGCAGUAAAACUAAUGUUUCAGAAUAAUAUAAGUGUAGUGGCAUCUGGCUCUUUGCUUUCACAAGAAACGUGGCUUUCUUUUUCUGUGAUUAAAUUAUAUAAAUAACUUCAUCUUCAAUAUAAAAAACUGUAAAUUUUAACUAUAUAGAUAAUCUCAGGAGUAUCUCUUCAAGUAAAUAUUAAUUCAAUUCCUCAUUAAUAAGUGGAGAAAGGGUGUGCAGAAUGUAAAUGACAGAACAUUUGUAUUUUUUUCAGUUUAGAGAGGGCAGUUGCUCGAGUAAGCAGAGAAAGGAUAUCUAGUUAUUUUACCUAAUUUUAUUAAUUAAGAUGUAUGUAUUACUGCC
rnacentral:lncRNA from 1 species